rnacentral:rRNA from 1 species
UACAGAGGUCUCAAGCGUUGUUCGGAUUCAUUGGGCGUAAAGAGCUCGUAGGCGGUUUGUUGCGUCGGCUGUGAAAUCCCGAGGCUCAACCUCGGGUCUGCAGUCGAUACGAGCAAACUAGAGUGUUUGCAGGGGAGACUGGAAUUCCUGGUGUAGCGGUGAAAUGCGCAGAUAUCAGGAGGAACACCGGUGGCGAAGGCGGGUCUCUGGGCAACAACUGACGCUGAGGAGCGAAAGCGUGGGGAGCGAACAGG